GGUGGGGACCAGGGCAGGUGCUAAAGGCUGUGCUGCAUCAGCAUGAGUACUCCUGGUGCUGGAAGUUGGGUCAGGGAGAUGAAAGAGUUGAAAACUAUUUUAUUUUGUUAGCUCAGCUCUAUCUGCUUGUUCCCUUGACCACCCUGCAACCAGAUGACCACCGAUAGCAGCGCAGAAGAGGGAGCAGAUGAAAUACAACAGUUUAGUGCCAGUUGUAUGGUUUAUUUAAGAAAACAGAGUAUAUACCUUCUUCUCCACACCUUGCAGCUUCCUGGCCGAAGAGUCAGUGUUCGUCUCAGAAAAGUUAAAGUCACAUAGCUGGAGUUACUAAAGGGCUUGACUCAACUUUUUGGAGAGUUCCUUGAAAAGAAUUUUUUUGUGACUGGAGGAAUCAUCAGAUUCAACAUAGCAGAUGUCCAGAUACCAGUGUCAUCUGCUACCUUGCCUCGGAAGAUUUUGGAGACAAAAUACGCUGCCUGGCUUUUUUUCUCAACUUUUCAUUUUCCUUUUAGGACAGCUUGAGCUACAUGAGAUGAUUGUACCCACCAUAGCUUCCCAUUGCUGCCAGAUGACUGAAAAAGAAAAGCUGAAGCUAAAUUUGGGUGUGCUGUCUUUUUUGGAACACAUUUAGUGUGCAGUGCCUUUUCUUUCUCUAUUCAAGCAUUACUUCUAAAGCAUAUCUGUGAAUCACUUUUAGAAGCAGCAGCCAUGGCCAUUUCAAAGCAUCAUCUGCUUAACAAAUUCAGAGUAGAUUGACCUGCUUCCCCAUGUUAAAGCAGUUUCACUGACUUGUUAAUUUUAGAGGAUGUUUCCAGACAGUAGCUUUCUUGCUUUCAGAGCCUGAUGGAUCUGAUUUUGAUGUCCCAAAGACAGUAAUAAUCUCCCCCGCAUAUGCUAAUAUACACUAAGUAUGAAUAAGAAUAUUGCCAUCAAGCCUUAUGUGAACUCAUUUCAGGCUCCCCCAGUACGCUUUUUGUUGUUUCCCAGUUCUUCUCAUAUCUCUCUUCUCCCUUUGUUUUUCUUAUAGUCCUAUCUGUUGUUUCAACAGCAGAUUCUGUCUUCUGGAACAACUUAAUGUUCCUGGUUUUGGAUUUUACAAAUCAUUCCAGAUGGAAAUUGAUAAUAAUGAAACCUGUUAUUGGGCUGGUGUAACAUUCGGGCACUGUUAGAGGAGCAACAAAUGCUGGCUUUACAUCACCUUUGGGUUCCUCAGUGCAGGCUGGUCUUCAGGGUCCAGAGCCUACAGAUGUGAGGCUGGCAGGGAGUUGCGGGAGGUUGGUCUGUGUAGCUGCACUAUGACAGAAAUACCCAAGAGGCUCUUUUAGGUACUGAAAACAGCAUAGUGUUUUUUUUGUAAGAAAAAAAAGAGGCAGCUUUCCCUGCCUCUCAUGAUCCUGUGCACAGGGCCUGGCAGCCUGAGUGAGGGGGAAGCAAGGUGAGACAUUGGAGACCUAUGCUCAGCUCUUGGCUGUGUCAAAAUUUUCAUGUCACCUUGAAGAUGUCCUUUAGUUAUCUGUUGUUGCUAUUUCCACCUUCAAGCUAGGGAGAAUAUAUUUCACCUCCUGUGUGGUCUAGCCAGAAUCCUGUGUUUUCAGAGGCUGUAAAAAUUAAUGUCUCACAUGCUGGCCUUUGCUAAGUAGUUCUGUAAGAAGAUUUCACUCCUGUCAGGGUGCUUUGUCUUCCUCUAUGCUCCUUCCCGAGGGACUGCUACUGGUCCUCUGGAAAUCUGCCUCAGGGCUGGAGUCCUUGGUUUACUUCUGUACCCAUAGUGCUUUUGCAGCCCUUGAUGGAUCUUUCUCACUGCUCAGGAGAGAUUUAACAGCAGCCUUAUCUCACGUUACUAUGUCUUUGUUAUUUCAACAGUGGCCUGUUUCAACUAGCUGUAGGACAGUGCUUCAUGAGGCAUCAGGGAUAAUUGACACUAACUUUCACCUGCCAAAACAAAUAGCUAGACUAAAUGCAUUUUCCUUUAUUUUGAGUUGUCUGUUCCUUGAGUGAGUGGAGUUAUGUGGUCCUUCAUAACUGUUUUCCCGACCCUCCUCAAGUUUGGAGUAACCUGAACUAAGGAGCUUGUGAUCACUUCUGCAGUGAGCAUCUGGGCUUGGCUCCAUCCAUGGUAAGAGUAUAUGCAAAAUGGGGAGUGAGAGUGGUUGCUGUGGGAAGAGGUGAAAGGCACGGUGGAAAAAACAAAAAAGCCAAUUUGCAGCUUUUCUGUACCUCACCUUGGAGUGACAUUGUUUUGACAGGUGAGAGGUAGUAUAUUUCUCUGUACUGAGGGAGAAACGUUUGUGUGGCCAGAGUCUCUCUUUGUAACAUGUGUGAAAAGGAAAGUAGGCCAGAGAAAGAAGCAGUACCCUCCUAGUACAGUCACACUUGUUCCACAAAAUUGGGAAGACAGCAAUACCAGCCUUUCAAAAGCAAGAAGAAUCAGGAGAUUACCUGAAAGUCACUCUCUCAUUUACUGAAUCUGUGGCAAGCUCUCUGGAAACUUGAUCCACCUGCCUGCUCAUUUUUUGGCUAUUAUGCAAAGAGUAAUUACAUUAUCAGCCAACCGGUAGAACAGGCAAACACCAUGGUGAAUGUUACUGUGUCCACUGAUCUAUUUAAUGGAUGAAUGAUCUUUUCACUUCUGCAUCUGAUUUGUAAAGGAUUGCAGGCAAAUGAGAGUAACAGCAAUCAAACCGUGAAAUAAGGUGAUUGGGAAUGUUUGCAUUGUUCUGUGAGGCACCAUACAAAGACCCACUUUUGACCAAGUUUGCAGAGAAAAAUUCAUGUGACUAAAUUUAACACUGUGAGGACCCACAUGUCCUGAAAGCAGCACAGACCCUCUGACCAUUCUGCUACCAGGCCCCAUGGACCUACCCCUCAGCAGGGCUCACAAUUUUGGCUGGUUGGUGCAGGACAAAAUCAGGUCUAAGACCACCAGAACUUGGUCUGAAUCACUUGUAACUUAAGCAUGAUGAAAACUGCGUGUAUUUGGAACGUGUCUUUUGUGGCUUGCUCAUUUCUGAAGCAGAGCACUCAGUGAAUUCACAAGUUUUAAUGCAGCGUCAGAAAAAACAUAAAGGCAAUGUUGUCAUACCACUCGGCGUGCCAGGUGAAGAGUCAUAGCCGAAAAAUAAAACUCACUGAACUGUUAGAUGCCUCAUGAUGGAUGAGUCAGAAACUCUUUGUUUCCUGCUACACUGUUACUGAUUUAGCAGGCUGCAAAACGGGAAAAUGGAGCUAGGGAUGACAAAGAAGAGAUAAUUUGUGAAAAAUGCCCACAACUUGUGGGGUAGAUGAAAAACAUGAUACAGCAAUUUCAAAACACCAGGAGACACACUAUGUGGGCAGAGGGUGUGUCCACGUUCUUCAAGCGUGUGAGAAAUUAAAUUCCCAGUUACCAUUCUUUCCAGCAACUUUCAGUGGGCAGAAGCAGGUGCCCUCUCCAAAGAGCACCAGUGGAUCCAUCAAAUAACAUGUUGUAUCUGGUACCAUCUGGAAGACAAACCUUUAGGGUCUAGAGAUCCUCAAUUCCCGUCUUUUGUGAAUUCCAGUGGAGAAAGAGUGUUUUCUGCAAGGAAAGCUUAGGAAGCAGUGUUAUUGGAAGGCUGUCACAGCACAGAACAAGAGCAGUUCAGAUGUUAUGAUGUGGCUCAGGCUAAAGAUUGCUCACCUUUGCUUCUCUUGCGUGAGGCAGACUUACCAGUGAAAUUAAUUUCAUGUGUAUGUUAUCCAAGUAAGAGUUCAUCAUCUACCACUUAACCCCAAAGAUAAAGAGUUAAAUGCAUUUUUGGGCCAUGUGUGAGCCAUCAAAGGUAAGGGAAUUUGCAUUACACUUGAUGUAUGCACUAAGCCAAAUGGCUUCUAUAAGAUUUGUGUCUUCCUCUGAAUUCAAAUGUUACGGAUUUCAACUCCAAAUGUUGGUCAGCAGAGCAACACUACAUAAUAGGUCUACAGAAUAAGUCAUGAUUAUUUCUAGUUGAUCUGCUGUUUCAAACUGAAUGCCUUAAAAACAGAACUGAGAGAUGCAAGAUAGAAUAGGAGCCUAUAUUCUACUGGCACAAUUUGAAAAGUAAUUAACAAAUAUGUCCAAUAGCAACGUAUCAUGGAUACAUGCUUGGUAAAGGGGAUCUUGCCAGCAUAGCAUCUACAUCUACCUUCUCCUUUAUUUCAGGAAAGUAUUUAGAAAAAUCUUGAAGGGAAAUAAAAUCAGAGAAGAGCCACUAGAAUUAUUGUGGGAAACAAAAAACAGAUCAGACUGUAGCAAAAAGCUCUUGAGAAUGCUAUUUACUUUCUAAGAGAACUGACUGAGGAAUAACUCAGUUAUAAUCUGUAUGUGCCAUCACAGAGGACACAGCAUGAAUGGAGUUUUCAGUAUAGUGGACAAAAGUAAAGCAAGGUGCAUUAACUGAAAGGCAGACAGAUCAAACUAGGAAUAAUGCACACGUUUUUAACAGUGAAUGUAAUUGAAGCAACCUACCAAGGACUUCAGUAAAUUUUCCAUCAGCGAGAACGCACAUAGAAAGACAGGAAAUUUUUCUAGAAGACACCUAGCUGAGGCACAAAUUAAUUCAUGGAAGUUCAAUGACAUGUUAUAUACAGGAGGUCAAACUGGAUUAUCACAAAUGGGCCUUUAGAGCUUUUAAGUCCAAGAAUUUAUGGGAGAUUGAAAAGAUAUUAACAAGUUUUCUUCCAGUAGAAUGCCCUUAACAAAGAUCAAUCUCUCUGUCUAUCAAUGGAUUUCCCAUACUUUGCAUCACUGCCUUUAGUCUUUCCCAAAUAAAUUAGAUUAAAGUAGCGAGAUCAAUAGUGAUUUCAGCGUCCUCUCUUUUUCAGCCUGCCUCAGUUAUUGAAAGAACUGUCUAGUCAAAAUAUUAAAAAAUCUUUUUUUUCCACUUCUGAAAAAAAAAAAAUCCAAUUAUAUCUCAUUACAGACUGUUAAAAUAAUUCAUAAGAAAGCCUUAAUGAACAUAGUAAAACUGCCAACUGAAAAAUGCUGCAACUAUAAAACUUCUUUUUAAAAAAAAAAACAAACAAACAACUCUGGGCAUUUAUUUUAUCAAGAACUAAGGAUUUUUGCAAAAUAAUUAUGUUUACAGUUUCAAUUUCAGAUUUCUCUGAGUUAGUCAAUGCACAAGUUCUGUUUGGACCAUGUGGAAAAUAAUCUUCAUGUGCUUUAAUAGCUCCACUGAUUUUCCUUUAUCUUUCAAAUACCCCAAACUUGACGUGUGCUAAAAUGAAGUCUGGAAAAUGUCAGUCCCAGAAAGCAUGCUUGUCAAAGUAAUGGCAACCAGAAAAAAAAAAAAAAAAAGAAGGGUGGUUAUAAUAAAACCUGAAGUCAGUGAUAAUUAUAAUGGAAUUUUGGGGCCUAUUAUCAGCCUGCCUAAAGUGAGAUGCAGACAUUAAGAGACCUGCAAGCAGAAGUUGCCUGGGAGAUGUGCUGAAACAGCCUGUCUCUGGGUGCACGGGCUCUUUCCCUGGCUGACUUCACCCACA